CGGCACCGUCAGAGAGGAGAGUGGGUCAGACCACAGGACACCUCACACGCAUUUCUUCCAUUAGAGACGGACGCUUACAAAUGGUUAGCCUCAGCGUGGUGACUUCUGGUGAGGAGGACCCAAGGGAAGAACCUAUGACUGCGUAAACCAUAAUGUAUUCCUUACACGCACUGAGGUUUCGGUGUUCGAGUGAAUGCAGUGAGAAGGAAUCGUGCUCGAAAAUGAGUACUGGUGGCGAAAACAGUCCUUCAGAGGUGAUUGUAUGUUAUCAGAAUAGUUGAAACUUAGUGAGUGGAUGUGGUGAUAGUGGUGAUAAUAGUGGUGGUGGUGGUGGAAAGAGAAUAGGAAGGAGGGAGGGGGAGAGUUGGUGGUGGUUUAGGGCGUUGUCCAGGACGGCGGGAAGGUGGAGGGCGUGGCAGUCAUCCACCUCAGCCCCUAGGAGUGCCUCGGGGUAGUGCGCUGGCCCUCCGCCGAUCUAGUCCCACGACCUCGGCGAACCCCACCACCUAGCUGCCUCCCCCUCCACCACCGCAGCCACGACCCGCGCGACCUGCACCACCGCCACCGCCGCUACCAUGGCUUCCACUUUCGUACAUUCAUCGUGAAGCUCCACCAUAACCACUAUGCUGUUUUAGGUGAAACCAGUGUUAAGCAUCGCAGUGGUGGAAAUCCUGCGAUGAUCUGAAGGUUUCUGGCCUACCCUUGUUCGUAUUACCUCUUAUAAUAA